UACGAAGGGGGCUAGCGUUGCUCGGAAUUACUGGGCGUAGAGCGCACGUAGGCGGCUUUCUAAGUCGGGGGUGAAAUCCUGGAGCUCAACUCCAGAACUGCCUUCGAUACUGGAGAGCUCGAGUCCGGGAGAGGUGAGUGGAACUGCGAGUGUAGAGGUGAAAUUCGUAGAUAUUCGCAAGAACACCAGUGGCGAAGGCGGCUCACUGGCCCGGUACUGACGCUGAGGUGCGAAAGCGUGGGGAGCAAACAGG
rnacentral:rRNA from 1 species